GAUGAACGCUGGCGGCGUGCCUAAUACAUGCAAGUCGAGCGAACGGACGAGAAGCUUGCUUUUCUGAUGUUAGCGGCGGACGGGUGAGUAACACGUGGAUAACCUACCUAUAAGACUGGGAUAACUUCGGGAAACCGGAGCUAAUACCGGAUAAUAUUUUGAACCGCAUGGUUCAAAAGUGAAAGACGGUCUUGCUGUCACUUAUAGAUGGAUCCGCGCUGCAUUAGCUAGUUGGUAAGGUAACGGCUUACCAAGGCAACGAUGCAUAGCCGACCUGAGAGGGGGAUCGGCCACACUGGAACUGAGACACGGUCCAGACUCCUAGGGGAGGCAGCAGUAGGGAAUCUUCCGCAAGGGGCGAAAGCCUGACGGAGAAACGGCGCGGGAGUGAUGAAGGUCUUCGGAUCGUAAAACUCUUUUAUUAGGGAAGAACAUUUGGGUAAGUAACGGUGCACCUCUUGACGGUACCUAAAAAGAAAGCCACGGCUAACUACGG
rnacentral:rRNA from 1 species